UGCGAACGCUGGCGGCUGGCCUAACACAUGCAAGUCGAACGGACCCUUCGGGGUUAGUGGCGGACGGGUGAGUAACACGUGGGAACGUGCCUUUAGGUUCGGAAUAGCUCCUGGAAACGGGUGGUAAUGCCGAAUGUGCCCUUCGGGGGAAAGAUUUAUCGCCUUUAGAGCGGCCCGCGUCUGAUUAGCUUGUUGGUGGGGUAAUGGCCCACCAAGGCUACGAUCAGUAGCUGGUCUGAGAGGAUGACCAGCCACAUUGGGACUGAGACACGGCCCAAACUCCUACGGGAGGCAGCAGUGGGGAAUCUUGCGCAAUGGGCGAAAGCCUGACGCAGCCAUGCCGCGUGUAUGAUGAAGGUCUUAGGAUUGUAAAAUACUUUCACCGGUGAAGAUAAUGACUGUAGCCGGAGAAGAAGCCCCGGCUAACUUCGUGCCAGCAGCCGCGGUAAUACGAAGGGGGCUAGCGUUGCUCGGAAUUACUGGGCGUAAAGGGAGCGUAGGCGGACAUUUAAGUC
rnacentral:rRNA from 1 species